CCAUAUUGGGGCGGUCGGCGCUUGAAUCACUUAUAGCAGAUUGCUUGGAAGUAUGCCGCAGCCAUGUGCAGCACUUGGGUGCACAAACAGAUAAAACUGUGAAAACAGGCAUCGCGGGACUACUUUUCUGCAGUUCCCCAAAGAUCCUGAAUUAAGGAAAGCUUGGGCCAUAGCUGUCCGACGGAAAGAUUUUGUUGUUCUCUGUAGCUGUCAUUCUAAGGCAGAUGAUCUUGACUGGCCAAAUUGUGCCUCUGAAGGAAAGUGUGAUCCCUUGUCUUCCGUCUGAACAACAUUAGCGUGUAAGAUAGUUAUAAGGUGAGUGUUUUUUUGUGGUAAACAGUGUUAAUAUAUAGUGUAAUCUAAUUGGAAUUACGAGAAUACAGAUGAUCUCAUACUAACAUAACUGAAAUUACCAUUAAACCUGAUAUUGAAAGUGAAUGUCCCUUUUGAUUGUUCUAAUAUUGAUUUUUAUUUUUUUUUGGUUACCAUUGUUUUUUGUUUGCUUGUUGUGAGCAGGGUAUGUUUUAUUCUUUAUCUCUAUAUAGUUAUUGUCACUUUAUUUCAUUAAAAUAUUUUAACAUAACUGCCCUGUUUCAUAAAGUAAUAAGGUAAGUAGAUUAUCAAAUAGGAAGACAAUAAGUGCCACUCCUUAUCACUGAAAACAUUGUGUGGAAAUUUGAUUUGUCAAAUAAAGUUUUAUUGUUUCUGGUAUAAUUUUGUUAAAAUUAUAAGUAAACAUUACAUAUGCAGUAAACUGCAUCUAUUGGUUGUUAGAUGUAACAAACCUGAAUUCAGCAUCACUGUGGUUUUUAUUGAGAGCAGAUGUAAUUUCUAGAUUAUAUGUAGUAUUGUAAUGCUAUAUUACAGAGCUGUACUAUUAUGUGUCCAUGUCUAAAAUGAAGAUUACAAUAAAAUAUUUCUGACGUGUAA